GGAUAUGAGGGCAAUCUGGCUGCAACAUCUGUCACCCCACUGAUCACCAUGGCUGAUUUAAUUCAUCUAGGUUUAUGUCCCCUUCCUUCCUCACCACUCCAUUUGCGUCCCUCUCCAAAGUGCAUGCUCAGUUGAAGAGGAUAACCAUCCCUGACAGAGGACGACUAGUCUCUGGUCAAGGGUAUACCAAGUAGCAAUACUUCUCCUGCUAGAACCUCCAAACAAGCUCUCACGAAAUCUAGAGUCCAGGUAAGAGAAGGGCCAUCUAACUCUGAGCU
ensembl:misc_RNA 7SK 7SK RNA